GAUGAACGCUGGCGGCGUGCCUAAUACAUGCAAGUCGAGCGAACAGAUAAGGAGCUUGCUCCUUUGACGUUAGCGGCGGACGGGUGAGUUACACGUGGAUAACCUACCUAUAAGACUGGGAUAACUUCGGGAAACCGGAGCUAAUACCGGAUAACAUAUUGAACCGCAUGGUUCAAUAGUGAAAGGCGGCUUUGCUGUCACUUAUAGAUGGAUCCGCGCCGUAUUAGCUAGUUGGUAAGGUAACGGCUUACCAAGGCAACGAUACGUAGCCGACCUGAGAGGGUGAUCGGCCACACUGGAACUGAGACACGGUCCAGACUCCUACGGGAGGCAGCAGUAGGGAAUCUUCCGCAAUGGGCGAAAGCCUGACAGAGCAACGCCGCGUGAGUGAUGAAGGUCUUCGGAUCGUAAAACUCUGUUAUCAGGGAAGAACAAAUGUGUAAGUAACUGUGCACAUCUUGACGGUACCUGAUCAGAAAGCCACGGCUAACUACGUG
rnacentral:rRNA from 1 species